rfam:Caenorhabditis brenneri strain PB2801 C_brenneri-6.0.1_Cont21.21, whole genome shotgun sequence.
AGUUGAUUUCUUCUGUGUUUAUGAAUCAACACAUAGCGUUCAUAAACCGGAGUAAAUCAGCUCU